CACAAGCCAUUUAUAAAAAAUGUAGAUGUUGGUCUAUAUAGACGUGAUGGCAUCACGCAGUCUUCCAUUCAACCAGUCUGUCCAUUCUCCUCUGACAUCAACAAAGCAUUUUCAUCCACACAACUGUCACUCACUGGACAUCUUCUCUUUUUUGGACCAUUCUCUCUAAACCCUAGAAAUGGUUGUGGGUGAAAAUCCCAGGAGAUCAGGAGUUUCUGAAAUAUUCAGAUCAGCCCGUCUGGCACCAUCAACCACACCACGUUCAAAGUC